GAUGUACUCCCUCCGUCCGAAAAUACUUGUCAUCAAAAUGAAUAAAAGGGGAUGUAUCUAGAUGUAUUUUAGUUCUAGAUACAUCCUUUUUUGUCCAUUUUGAUGACAAGUAUUUCCGGACGGAGGGAGUAGGUG
rnacentral:pre_miRNA from 1 species